rnacentral:rRNA from 1 species
GAUGAACGCUAGCGGCAGGCUUAAUACAUGCAAGUCGAGGGACAGCCCAGGCAGCAAUACUGGGUGGUAACCGGCAAGCGGGUGCGGAACACGUACACAACCUUCCUUUAAGUGGGGGAUAGCCCAGAGAAAUUUGGAUUAAUACCCCGUAAUAUAGGUGAAUGGCAUCAUUUGAUUAUUAUAGCUACGGCGCUUAAUGAUGGGUGUGCGGCUGAUUAGAUAGUUGGCGGGGUAACGGCCCACCAAGUCUACGAUCAGUAGCUGAUGUGAGAGCAUGAUCAGCCACACGGGCACUGAGACACGGGCCCGACUCCUACGGGAGGCAGCAGUAAGGAAUAUUGGUCAAUGGACGCAAGUCUGAACCAGCCAUGCCGCGUGAAGGAUUAAGGUCCUCUGGAUUGUAAACUUCUUUUAUUUGGGACGAAAAAGGGCCUUUCUAGGUCAACUGACGGUACCAGAUGAAUAAGCACCGGCUAACUCCGUGCCAGCCGCCGCGGUAACAC